rnacentral:rRNA from 1 species
UACGUAGGGGGCUAGCGUUGUCCGGAAUCAUUGGGCGUAAAGCGCGUGUAGGCGGUCCGGUAAGUCCGCUGUGAAAGUCGGGGGCUCAACCCUCGAAUGCCGGUGGAUACUGUCGGGCUAGAGUGCGGAAGAGGCGAGUGGAAUUCCUGGUGUAGCGGUGAAAUGCGCAGAUAUCGGAAGGAACACCAGUGGCGAAAGCGGCUUCCUGGUCCAGCACCGACGUUCAGGCACGAAAGCGUGGGGAGCAAACAGG